rnacentral:rRNA from 1 species
UAAAGUGGCGCACGGGUGAGUAAUACGUGACUAACCUACCCUCGAGUGGGGAAUAACCUAGAGAAAUCUGGGCUAAUACCGCAUAACACUUACGAGUCAAAGCAGAAAUGCGCUUGAGGAGGGGGUCGCGGCAGAUUAGCUAGUUGGCGGGGUAAUGGCCCACCAAGGCAAUGAUCUGUAUCCGGCCUGAGAGGGCGCACGGACACACUGGAACUGAAACACGGUCCAG